rnacentral:rRNA from 1 species
GACGAACGCUGGCGGCGUGCCUAAUACAUGCAAGUAGAACGCACAGUUUAUACCGUAGCUUGCUACACCAUAGACUGUGAGUUGCGAACGGGUGAGUAACGCGUAGGUAACCUGCCUGGUAGCGGGGAUAACUAUUGGAAACGAUAGCUAAUACCGCAUAAUAUUGAUUAUUGCAUGAUAAUUGAUUGAAAGAUGCUAUUGCAUCACUACCAGAUGGACCUGCGUUGUAUUAGCUAGUAGGUGAGGUAACGGCUCACCUAGGCGACGAUACAUAGCCGACCUGAGAGGGUGAUCGGCCACACUGGGACUGAGACACGGCCCAGACUCCUACGGGAGGCAGCAGUAGGGAAUCUUCGGCAAUGGACGAAAGUCUGACCGAGCAACGCCGCGUGAGUGAAGAAGGUUUUCGGAUCGUAAAGCUCUGUUGUAAGAGAAGAACGGGUGUGAGAGUGGAAAGUUCACACUGUGACGGUAUCUUACCAGAAAGGGACGGCUAACUACGUG